UUUUUUUUUUUGCCAUUUAUCCACGCCACUCUGAAUUUGCAUGUUAGACUUCUUCCUAGUGUGAUAGUAACUAGGAGUGUCGUGAAGUAAAUGGCUGGGAGGGUGGGCGGAGACAGCGAAUUACAAAACAUUAUUUGGGGUUUAUAAAGGAGUUAGGGCUGGAAAACACCAAGGAGGUGUUGUUACAGCCAAAAAUACUCCUGCUUAUGGUCUUCCUAGCACAGUUUAUUAUCUGCUAUUGGUUUUUAUUAGAUAAAUGUCCAAGUACAUUCAUAAGUUUCUUUAACAAAAAUUCAUUUGCCCAAAAUAUACUAGGAAGACAUGAGCAUGACUUUAAUCUUUUAUGAUUCAGAUGUCCAGAACUUUCUCAUAAUAAACUUUCAGUGAUAGAAAACCAAAAACACAUUUUAGUGUCUUAUUUUAAAUAUAGCUUUAUUUUGCCUCACGGGGUGUGUAAACAGGUUUUACAUUGAAAAGUAAAACCUUUCAUUUAACAUGCAAGCUACUCAGUUUUCUUUUUCAUAGAUAAGGUGUACCAGUAUGAUCUAUAUCGAAUUAAUUUCUAGAGCAAGCUAAAGGAGGGAUUUGUAUAUAGUACCAUAUGUACAUACAAUAGCAGAAUGAGGAAAUUGAGAAAACUUAGGUAGUGUGGUAAGUCAAUGCUUUUCUUCUUUUAGAAUGAAGUUUUCGUUUCUGCAUAAGGAUUCUUUGACAUCUUACGACCCAACUCUUUGCUAAAUAUUUGCCCCUUAAAAUAAUUUUUUUUUAUUGAGCAUACUUUGGCCCUCCAAAUUGACUAAUAUGUAUUUGGAUAAUUUUUACAUCUGUGUGUCUAUUAACUGCCUGCUAUCUUUUUGCAGGUAACUGUCCUGUACGUAAUUUUUUGGUCAGAGUGAUUACUCUUACUGCAUAAGAGUUUCCUAGAUAUUGUUGAUUAUGCCCUUUCUUUCCCUGUGAGGCCCUUCUUCUGGCAGGAGAAGUCAUGUGCUUUAAAGUUUGUAUAUUCAUCAUCCACACAUUUUUUUUUUUUCUAAAUUGAAAAUACAUCCUGUUUGCAGCAAAUAUUACUUUGUGGUAAAAAUUUUAAAACAACAGUGAUAACUGGUACACGUUUGAUAAUUGAUAGUUUGUUUCCUUAGAAAUAAUAUUACCUGUGAUGAAGAGACUGACUCAGAAAAGCUACUGCAAAUAAAGCUCUUGAUUAUACAUUUAUACUAUGCUUAAACUUAGAGAUGGAAACCGUAGACCCUCAAAACUACAUCCUUUUUGGGGAUAUGUUAGUAUUUGCUGUGUUGAAGUAAGUGACAAGUUUAGGUCGGCUGUAUAAAUUACGUACUUUAAUGCCACGGAAAUGAAAAGUAAAGCAAUUAUCUUGCUUCCCCAUUAUUUUGUAUUUAAUAAAUUUGUCAACAUUGGUUGAACUUUUUAUAUUAUAUACUAAAAAGUGUUUUAAAUGCUACAUAUAUCUUUAUGGCUACCUUUUGAAUUAUUUUUUAUUUUCUGAACUAAUGAUCCUAUUUGAAUGCAGUAAUUUUAUCUGUAUCAAUCGUGUGCUCAUUUCUGUUUGUUUUUUUAAAUUGUUUUAUACUUCUAUUUGCUACUCUUCUAUUUUUCUUUUAAUUGAAAACAAUAGGAGCAAAUGGUUUGAUGUUGGAAUUUUAUAAAUUGUAGAAAUACUGAUUUGGCUUAAAAUGUUUUCCCUGAUUGUGUGGUUUUUAGUAAAAUGAACUUUCUUACUCUCUUCUUUCAACUUGGUAUUUUUUGACAAUGUUUUUUGGAUUUGAUGUGUAACUGUUUAACUUUACAUAACAUUUAUUGGGCCUUAUAUUGAUAAUUUGAAAAAAUUUUAUAUUAGUAAGAUAUGUAUAAUUUUACUAAUAUUUUCAAUCAUGGUGAUGAGAGGUUAAUUCCACUUACUUUAGUGGGGUAUAUGUUCAUGUAUACAACUGCAUGCACAUGUAUGGUUUUGUGUGUUUGUACAGGGUGUUAUUUUGUGGUACUUUUUGUAAUGAGAGUAUUUCUUCUGGUUUUUUUUUUUUUUUCUCCUCAGUUUGUUUUAAUUAAAUUCUGUAAAAACCCAAAGUACCAUCAUGUCCAUAAUUGUUUGAACAGCUUCAUUUGGUUAGUAGUAGCAGCUAUCUGUCUCAAUGUGAGAUUAUGUAGAAAUUGGAUGCCAAAAGAGAAAAUCUUAAGCUUUCUCUCUCCCUCUAGCCCCCUUCGCUGCCCCCCUCCUCACUUUCUCCCUCUUUCCCCCUUCUUUCUUCCCUCUCUCCUCCAGGCCUUUUUUUGGUUUCUCUUUUUCUGUUUUGGCAUUUCUAUAAAGUCUCAAAGUAGUUUCUUAAAGUUCUUGGAGGGGAUACUGACAUUAAUCCUCACUAAUGAAUACCUGGUAGGUUUGAAGCCCCUAACGUUCAAGGCAAAGCAUUGUUAUAUCCUGAUAUGGUUCACCUCAUUUGUUAGAUGAUAUUGGCAUCUGAUUAGAGAUUUUCCUUGUUUUAAUAGUUUUUAAUUUUUUUCUCUGUGUUAAUUUACUUGUAACACAUUGUUUCACAUGACUUUAACACUUUAAUUAUGAGUAUUACUUCCUCCCUGCCCCCCCCCCCCCGGUUGUUCUUUGAAGUACAGAGUGGUCCAUACUUGUUUAAUACAGUUAUAUAAAUCAUUUCUUAUAAUUAUUAGAACAAUUCAUCUUCUAAUGCUGUCAUUUUUCUAAGAAGAAAAAAAGGCGAGAACUUGCAGAAAAUAUGGGAAAUAUGCUCAUAUGACAGCUGAGGAUGUGGCUAGGCUAAAGCAGGAAACUACUACCCACAAUGCAAUGUUACAUAUACUACCACUUAAUAAAAUUUAUAUCAAACAUGCUACUGACAAAACCAAAGAAAAAUAAUACUCCAGCUAUACUAGUUUAAUGUACUAAAUAUAGGGAAAAGUGAAACUAAUCUCUUUGGAACCUUUGUACUUGGAGAAUAUAGUAAAUGAACCUGUGGGACAUCAUAUAAUACAUUGGAGCCCUCUGGUAACUUUGCCUUUGUGCUAUGAGACUUGGUUGUAGGUGAAACCAUCUUUGAAGAGAACCUUUUGGGUAUUAACUGAAAAAGGCACAAAAAGGUGCCUGCCUUCUUUUUCAAUUGAGUUUUUGCAGUAUUAAAAAGGGUUAAAGGAUAUAAUGAUCUAGUAGGAAAAUAAGUUAAUUAUGAGAUAUUCAUCAUGAUUAUUUAAGCUUUUUAUCCAGCCAGGUGUGUAUUUCUUUACAUUUUGUUUUAAGUUGUUUUUUUUUAUUGCCAGGUCUGAAUUGGGGCUUAAACUGGAGUUGAAGUGUCCACUGAGGCAUAUUUCUUUUCAAAGUAAUUGUUUUCCUUGCUGUUUCUUUUUGUUUUUGUUAACCUGCCUAUAGCUUACCUGAUCGAUCCAUAUGCUUUACUGUCGGGAGGUUAGUUCAAAGCAAAAAUGUAAACUGCUUUUAUAAUGUGGUUGAAAAAGAUUGAGGAUAUAUUUUUUAAAAGUGAGAUUUCAGUAUACUUAGGAUUUCUGUUUAUAAAUCUUAAUCUUCUGUGCUCUUAGCUGUCAGACUUUAGCAAUUUUAAUGGAUUUAGGACCUUAGUAAUUUGGGUGAAUUUUGAGGUUUUAUAAAGGAGGUUUCAUGAGAUUUGAAUAAGGGAACAUAAUAGAGGUUUUGAAUUGAUAAUGUAUAGAAAUUUUAUCAGAGAGAGAAUAGAAAAGACUAUAAAGCUAAUGUUACUUAUGAAAGAUCCUCUGUUGGUAUUCCAGUGUAUGAAAUCGUUUCAUACCUGGCAUGGUAUUUGUCAUCUCAUCAUCUAAACAUGAAUAUAUUGUCUGUCUGUAUCUCUAAGGAUGAUUUGCUUAAUUGUUUGAAGUCUUUUCUCCUUUAGAGACUGCUUAUCAAUAACAGCUGUAGUGCUGUGGCUUUUCUCCAUGGACGCAUGGUGGUCUUUGGAACAACGUUCUUCAAUUUUGACAGUUUCUUACGUUAAAGAUUACAUGUAUGGGUCUUCUGAAUCGUGUUGAAUCGAACGUGGCUGUGGACACUCAUCUUUAAAAUUGAGCUAACACUCAUCCUAAGGUUAUUGUAUUCCAGCAUUUUCAUAUGGAUGAACUUCUACUUCUCUAUUUUUGGGGAACCGAGGAGAAGAUUUAUGCCUAAGUGUUUUCUAAAGAGUUUGUUAAGUAUCAUCUGACUUCUCAAUAAAUUAUAGUUCUGAUGA